UCCGGUUUGGCACCGGCAGUCCCCCUAGAGUCCCCGGCUUGGCCCUCGCGGGCCGCUCCGCUGGUAACUAGGGGCGGGGGUUGCGCUCGUUGCGGGACUUAACCCAACAUCUCACGACACGAGCUGACGACAGCCAUGCAGCACCUGUGCGCGGACUCCGAAGAGGGGCCCCCGUCUCUGGGGGCUUUCCCGCGCAUGUCAAGCCCAGGUAAGGUUCUUCGCGUUGCGUCGAAUUAAACCACAUGCUCCACCGCUUGUGCGGGCCCCCGUCAAUUCCCUUGAGUUUUAGCCUUGCGGCCGUACUCCCCAGGCGGGGCGCUUAAUGCGUUAGCUGCGGCACGGAACUCGUGGAAUGAGCCCCACACCUAGCGCCCAACGUUUACGGUGUGGACUAC
rnacentral:misc_RNA from 1 species